UCCUCUGUGGCGCAAUUGGCUAGCGCGAUCGGCUGUUAACCGGAAGGCUGGUGGUACGAUCCCACCCAGGAGGG
rnacentral:tRNA from 1 species